ACCUCAGAGCAGGCGAA
rnacentral:rRNA from 2 species